rnacentral:rRNA from 1 species
UGCCAGCAGCCGCGGUAAGACGGAGGGUGCAAGCGUUGUUCGGAAUUACUGGGCGUAAAGCGCGGGCAGGUGGUCCUUUAAGUCCCUUGUGAAAUUCCGGAGCUCAACUCCGGAUGUGCGUGGGAUACUGGGGGACUGGAGACUGGUAGAGGCGAGCGGAAUUCCUGGUGUAGCGGUGGAAUGCGUAGAUAUCAGGAAGAACACCGGUGGCGAAGGCGGCUCGCUGGGCCAGUUCUGACACUCAUCCGCGAAAGCGUGGGGAGCAAACAGGAUUAGAUA